GUCCUUUCCGAGGUCCUCUGCCGCGUGUUUGGAAGUUAUGGCCGCGCGGGUCUGUGGUGUUCUCCCUGAAAGGCCUAAGCUUUGGGUGAUGGCAUUGCCUUUUGGCACUCGGGAGACAAGAUGCAGGUUCCGUCUCAGAAGUAAUGGCUGGAUCCCUGAAAGCCAACGGGCUCGGUGUGGUCCACCCGUCAGAAGGCAUAGGUAGAUGGUGGGCAUCUGCCUCAGACAUAGUUCUCAAGUUCAGCCAGAAGAAUGCGCGUUGAGCCCUCUGCAGCCCGUGUCGACGGAGGUGUUGUCUCCAGGAAGCAUCAUGGAAAGGCGUGGUGGUGCACAAGGGCCUUCAGGAUGCCUGCGCCUGGUCAGUGGAUGAGACGGGUAUGGAGUGGAAUUAAGAGUCCUCGAGGUUUGAGCAGGCAUGGAGAAACGGUUUGAUGACCAUUCUCACAGCAAGACCAGAGCACUGGCUAUGUUUAAGCACCUCCUGAGAUAGGUUUUUUUAAUCCUCAGUCUUAACAGACAGCCAUAUGCUUUUGUACAUGUGGGUGGGGAAAGGAGACACUCCUUUGUAUAGUGUCACCUCUUAGUGGCAGGUGUGGUAAUGGCUGCCCUUCAGUAGGGUCGCUGUAGUGGGUGACCUGUACCAUUUUAGGGAUUUCACUGAUAGUCUACAAAGACUUGCCAAAGACUCUGGCUCAGCUGUAAGGCAGAUGCUGCUGGAAGUGACCUUUUUCCAGAGUCUUCCCUUGUAACCUGGAUUGGCCUUGCAUUUGUUGUGGAACAGGGGUUGGGUUCAAACUCAUAAUUCUGUCUUGGCUUCCUUCCUGUGAGUCACCUUGUCUUUAAGAGGACAGGAGUGAUUAGAGAAAUGGCUUAGUGGUUAAGAACAUUUGCUGAAUCUUUUUUAAAAACUUGUAAAAAGUUCUCGUGCACAAAGGCUGACCUGCUGUGGGAGCUGAGUCCAUGAUGAUAUAAAGCUAUCUGUCUGGAGGCCUUUCUGUGUGGAGUGUGGAUGCCUGAAACUCAGCCUUCCGGGCUUGCCUGGAAGACUCCAUGUGAGUUUUUUAGAGUUAACCUUGUGUGUGUUUCCUUACUGAUAGGUGACGGCUGCGCCUCAGGUUCUGGGCCUGACUCGGAAGGGUGCCUGUGAGCAGAAGAGCUGGCACGCGCAGCUCAGUGGACCAUCAGUGCCAACCCGUCCUGUACCCUGGCUGAGGGGUGUGCUAAGUGGCAGAUUCCCGGUUGGCUCAUCGUAAGGCGUGGCACAAAAUCACCAUCGAAAGAAAGGGCCUUCGGGAUGCCUCUAUCUGGUUAUUGCCCUGUAGUGCCAGAGAGAACCACAUAGCCUGCUGCUGCUCCUGCCUUUAAUUUCCCAAAGAGUCAUCAGACGACCUUGGAGUUUGUUCUGCAAGAGGAGCCAGUAAGGCCUCGUGACUGUGGUCACCCUCGGAAGCCUUUGACAGCUAGCUGGUGAGGGCGCUCAGUCGGAGGCCCUGGGGAGGCCCCUGCUAAGCCGAGAAAAGCAUUUCUCACAGUGGAUUUCCUGGAAGUCAGGGUUGGCCUUUGUAUUUUGAAGCACAAAUAAACUUUAUAAAAUUUAA
rnacentral:lncRNA from 1 species